AGAGUUUGAUCAUGGCUCAGGAUGAACGCUAGCGGCAGGCUUAAUACAUGCAAGUCGUGGGGCAGCAUGGUGUAGCAAUACACUGAUGGCGACCGGCAAACGGGUGCGGAACACGUACGCAACCUUCCUUUAACUGGAGAAUAGCCCGGGGAAACCCAGAUUAAUACUCCGUAACAUUAUGAAGUGGCAUCACUUUAUAAUUAUAGCUCCGGCGGUUGAAGAUGGGCGUGCGUCUGAUUAGGUAGUUGGCGGGGUAACGGCCCACCAAGCCUACGAUCAGUAACUGGUGUGAGAGCACGACCAGUCACACGGGCACUGAGACACGGGCCCGACUCCUACGGGAGGCAGCAGUAAGGAAUAUUGGUCAAUGGACGCAAGUCUGAACCAGCCAUGCCGCGUGAAGGAUGAAGGUCCUCUGGAUUGUAAACUUCUUUUAUUUGGGAAGAAACCCAUGAUUUCUAUCGUGGUUGACGGUACCAGAUGAAUAAGCACCGGCUAACUCCGUGCCAGCAGCCGCGGUAAUACGGAGGGUGCAAGCGUUAUCCGGAUUCACUGGGUUUAAAGGGUGCGUAGGCGGGUUGGUAAGUCCGUGGUGAAAUCUCCAAGCUUAACUUGGAAACUGCCGUGGAUACUAUCAAUCUUGAAUAUAGUGGAGGUGAGCGGAAUAUGUCAUGUAGCGGUGAAAUGCUUAGAUAUGACAUAGAACACCCAUUGCGAAGGCAGCUCGCUACACUAUUAUUGACGCUGAGGCACGAAAGCGUGGGGAUCAAACAGGAUUAGAUACCCUAGUAGUCC
rnacentral:rRNA from 1 species